UACGUAGGGUGCGAGCGUUAAUCGGAAUUACUGGGCGUAAAGCGUGCGCAGGCGGUUCGCUGUGUCCGAUGUGAAAGCCCCGGGCUCAACCUGGGAAUGGCAUUGGAAACUGGCGGGCUCGAGUGUGGCAGAGGGGGGCGGAAUUCCGCGUGUAGCAGUGAAAUGCGUAGAGAUGUGGAGGAACACCGAUGGCGAAGGCAGCCCCCUGGGCCAACACUGACGCUCAGGCACGAAAGCGUGGGGAGCAAACAGG
rnacentral:rRNA from 1 species